rnacentral:lncRNA from 1 species
GACUCAGCCCACCUGCACCCAGGUGAAAUAAACAGCUUUACUGCUCUCACACAAAGCCUGUUUGGUGGUCUCUUCACACGGACGCGCAUGAAAUUUGGUGCCAUGACUCGGAUCGGGGGACCUCCCUUGGGAGAUCAAUCCCCUGUCUUCCUGUUCUUUGCUCCGUGAGAAAGAUCCACCUACAACCUCAGGUCCUCAGACCGACCAGCCCAAGGAACAUCUCACCAAUUUUAAAUCAGAAGGCAGGAAUGUCAGGCCUCUGAGCCCAAGCCAAGCCAUCGCAUCCCCUGUGAUUUGCACAUAUACACCCAGAUGGCCUGAAGUAACUGAAGAAUCACAAAAGAAGUGAAUAUGCCCUGCCCCACCUUAACUGAUGACAUUCCACCACAAAAGAAGUGUAAAUGGCCGGUCCUUGCCUGAAGUGAUGACAUUACCUUGUGAAAGUCCUUUUCCUGGCUCAUCCUGGCUCAAAAAGCACCCCCACUGAGCACCUUGCGACCCCCACUCCUGCCCGCCAGAGAACAACCCCCCUUUGACUGUAAUUUUCCUUUACCUACCCAAAUCCUAUAAAACGGCCCCACCCUUAUCUCCCUUCGCUGACUCUCUUUUCGGACUCAGCCUGCCUGCACCCAGGUGAUUAAAAGCUUUAUUGCUCACACA